GAAUCAUUCACAAUCGGCGCAAGCCUGAUGAUGCAACGCCGCGUGGGGGAUGAAGGCCCUAGGGUUGUAAACCCCUGUCACUGAGGAGCAAAGCCUAGAUUCAUAGUCUAGUUUGAGUUAACUCAGAGAGGAAGCAGUGGCAAACUCCGUGCCAGCAGCCGCGGUAAUACGGAGACUGCAAGCGUUACUCGGAAUUACUGGGCGUAAAGGGUGCGCAGGCAGCUAGGUGUGUCAGAUGUGAAAUCUCGAGGCUUAACUUCGUGGCUGCGUUUGAGACUGCCUGGCUACAGUUUUGGAGAGGCAGGCGGAAUUUCUGGUGUAGCGGUGGAAUGCGUAGAUAUCAGAAGAAACACCAAUGGCGAAGGCAGCUUGCUGGACAAAUACUGACGCUCAUGCACGAAAGCGUGGGGAGCAAAAAGGAUUAGAUACCCUUGUAGUCCACGCCGUAAACUUUGUACACUCGAUUUUUAGACAUUCGACCGUUUCAGAGUCUAAGCUAACGCGAUAAGUGUACCGCCUGAGGACUACGGUCGCAAGACUAAAACUCAAAGGAAUUGACGGGACCCGCACAAGCGGUGGAGCAUGUGGCUUAAUUCGAUGUUACGCCAAGAACCUUACCUAGGCUUGACAUACACUGGACAGUUUGCGAAAGCAAAUCUUCCUUCGGGACCGGUGAACAGGUGCUGCAUGGCUGUCGUCAGCUCGUGUCGUGAGAUGUUCGGUUAAGUCCGACAACGAGCGCAACCCUUGUCUUUAGUUGCCAGCGGGUAAUGCCGGGGACUCUAGAGAGACAAACGGUUCAGGUGGGAAGGAGAGGAUGACGUCAAGUCAGCAUGGCCCUUACGUCUAGGGCUGCACACGUGCUACAAUGCCCAGUACAAUGAGAAGCAAUCUCGCGAGGGGGAGCAAAUCUAUAAAACUGGGCCAGUUCAGAUUGAAGUCUGCAAUUCUACUUCAUGAAGUCGGAAUCGCUAGUAA
rnacentral:rRNA from 1 species